rnacentral:rRNA from 1 species
UACGUAGGGGGCAAGCGUUGUCCGGAAUCAUUGGGCGUAAAGAGCGCGUAGGCGGCCCUGUAAGUCCGCUGUGAAAGUCAAGGGCUCAACCCUUGAAUGCCGGUGGAUACUGCAGGGCUAGAGUCCGGAAGAGGCGAGUGGAAUUCCUGGUGUAGCGGUGAAAUGCGCAGAUAUCAGGAGGAACACCGGUGGCGAAGGCGGUUCUCUGGGCCUGUACUGACGCUGAGGAACGAAAGCGUGGGGAGCGAACAGG